rnacentral:rRNA from 1 species
UUGAUCCUGGCUCAGGAUGAACGCUGGCGGCGUGUUUAAGGCAUGCAAGUCGAACGCCCCGACGCAAGUCGGGGAGUGGCAAACGGGUGCGUAACACAUUGGUAACCUACCUCCAAGUCGGGGAUAGCUCGCCGAAAGGCGAAUUAAUACUCGAUAGCAAUGCGGGGACAUAAGUCAUUCGCAUUUAAAGUUUUAAUGCUUGGAGAGGGGCCUAUGGCCUAUCAGCUAGUUGGUGAGGUAACGGCUCACCAAGGCUACGACGGGUAGGGGGCGUGAGAGCGCGACCCCCCUCACUGGGACUGAGACACUGCCCAGACUCCUACGGGAGGCUGCAGUCGAGAAUAUUCCACAAUGGGCGAAAGCCUGAUGGAGCGACGCCGCGUGCAGGAUGAAGGUCUUCGGAUCGUAAACUGCUUUUAUAGGGGAAGAAUUUGUGACUGUACCCUAUGAGUAAGAGGUUGCUAACUCUGUGCCAGCCGCCGCGGUAAUUCA